AACGAACGUUGGCGGCGUGGAUUAGGCAUGCAAGUCGUACGCGAAAGAGGGAGCAAUCCCUUGAGUAAAGUGGCGAACGGGUGAGUAACGCGUAGGAAACCUGCCUUCGAGAUGGGGAUAACACUCCUAACGGGGUGCUAAUACCGAAUGACACUGCGGGAUCGCAUGGUUCUGCAGUCAAAGGUGGCCUCUGCUCGCAAGCUACCACUCGGAGAUGGUCCUGCGUCCCAUUAGCUAGUUGGCGGGGUAAUGGCCACCAAGGCGACGAUGGUAGCCGAUCUGAGAGGAUGACCGGCCACACUGGGACUGAGAUACGGCCAGACUCCUACGGGAGGCAGCAAGUCGAGAGGCUUCGGCAAUGGGGAAACCCUGACCGAGCGACGCCGCGUGGAGGAUGAAGGCCGUUU
rnacentral:rRNA from 1 species